rnacentral:rRNA from 1 species
ACGGUCCUAAGGUAGCGAAAUUCCUUGUCGGGUAAGUUCCGACCUGCACGAAUGGUGUAACCAUGGCCAUGCUGUCUCCACCCGAGACUCAGUGAAAUCGAAUUCGCCGUGAAGAUGCGGUGUACCCGCGGCUAGACGGAAAGACCCCGUGAACCUUUACUACAGCUUGGCACUGAACAUUGAACCUACAUGUGUAGGAUAGGUGGGAGGCUUUGAAGGCGUGACGCCAGUUGCGCUGGAGCCGUCCUUGAAAUACCACCCUUGUAUGUUUGAUGUUCUAACGCAGGGCCCUGAAUCGGGCUCGCGGACAGUGCCUGGUGGGUAGUUUGACUGGGGCGGUCUCCUCCCAAAGAGUAACGGAGGAGCACGAAGGUUGGCUAAUCCUGGUCGGACAUCAGGAGGUUAGUGCAAUGGCAUAAGCCAGCUUAACUGCGAGACGGACAGGUCGAGCAGGUACGAAAGUAGGUCAUAGUGAUCCGGUGGUUCUGAAUGGAAGGGCCAUCGCUCAACGGAUAAAAGGUACUCCGGGGAUAACAGGCUGAUA